CAGGGCACGUUCUCCGCCUUCCGUGAGCUGGAUUUUGAAGAUCUGAAGACGUCACAAGAACUGCGACAGCACGCGUCCAGGGUCAUGGGCUUCGUCAACAAGCUGAUCAGCCGGCUGGACUCAGAAGACCAGUUCACUUCGCUGACGAUCGACCUGUGCAGGCGGCACGUGGAGUACGGCGCCCUGCCGCAGCACAUGCAAAUCCUUGGCAACCAGUUCAUCAGCGUCAUGCGCUCCACGCUGGAGGAGGACGGCUCCUGGGGGCCCGAGACGCAGGUGGCCUG